GAUGAACGCUAGCGACAGGCUUAACACAUGCAAGUCGAGGGGCAGCACGAUGUAGCAAUACAUUGGUGGCGACCGGCGCACGGGUGAGUAACGCGUAUGCAACCUACCUAUCAGAGGGGAAUAACCCGGCGAAAGUCGGACUAAUACCGCAUAAAACAGGGGUUCCACAUGGAAAUAUUUGUUAAAGAAUUAUCGCUGAUAGAUGGGCAUGCGUUCCAUUAGAUAGUUGGUGAGGUAACGGCUCACCAAGUCCACGAUGGAUAGGGGUUCUGAGAGGAAGGUCCCCCACACUGGUACUGAGACACGGACCAGACUCCUACGGGAGGCAGCAGUGAGGAAUAUUGGUCAAUGGGCGAGAGCCUGAACCAGCCAAGUCGCGUGAAGGAUGAAGGAUCUAUGGUUUGUAAACUUCUUUUAUAUGGGAAUAAAGUGAGGAACGUGUUCCUUUUUGUAUGUACCAUAUGAAUAAGCAUCGGCUAACUCCGUGCCAGCAGCCGCGGUAAUACGGAGGAUGCGAGCGUUAUCCGGAUUUAUUGGGUUUAAAGGGUGCGUAGGUGGUUAAUUAAGUCAGCGGUGAAAGUUUGUGGCUCAACCAUAAAAUUGCCGUUGAAACUGGUUGACUUGAGUAUAUUUGAGGUAGGCGGAAUGCGUGGUGUAGCGGUGAAAUGCAUAGAUAUCACGCAGAACUCCGAUUGCGAAGGCAGCUUACU
rnacentral:rRNA from 1 species